rnacentral:rRNA from 1 species
AGUGAACGCUGGCGGUAGGCCUAACACAUGCAAGUCGAACGGCAGCACAGUAAGAGCUUGCUCUUACGGGUGGCGAGUGGCGGACGGGUGAGGAAUACAUCGGAAUCUACUUUUUCGUGGGGGAUAACGUAGGGAAACUUACGCUAAUACCGCAUACGACCUACGGGUGAAAGCAGGGGAUCUUCGGACCUUGCGCGAUUGAAUGAGCCGAUGUCGGAUUAGCUAGUUGGCGGGGUAAAGGCCCACCAAGGCGACGAUCCGUAGCUGGUCUGAGAGGAUGAUCAGCAACACUGGAACUGAGACCCGGUCCAGACUCCUACGGGAGGCAGCAGUGGGGAAUAUUGGACAAUGGGCGCAAGCCUGAUCCAGCCAUACCGCGUGGGUGAAGAAGGCCUUCGGGUUGUAAAGCCCUUUUGUUGGGAAAGAAAAGCAGCAGGUUAAUACCCCGCUGUUCUGACGGUACCCAAAGAAUAAGCACCGGCUAACUUCGU